GUAGCCCAGGCUGAUCUUGAACUCACAGCGAUCAUCCUGCCUCAGCCUCCUGAGUGCUGGCCUAAGUAAUAAUUUUCAUAAAGGUAAAGACAGCUUUCCUCCACAACCAGGAAUAUGGAGACAUGCAGGACCCCACUGGGCACAGACGGGUGCUGGGAAGUGAGUGCCAGGACCACCUUUACAGAGAACAAACCUCAGAAGUCACAUGACCGGCUGCCCACAUCACAUGGCCACCUCCCAGAGUGCUGCAUCUCUUGAUUGCAUGAAGAGGUCACGUCGAGGGCCAGGGAUUUAGCUCAGCAGUUCGGUGGCCUGCCUUACAAGCACAAGGACCCAAGUUCAA